UACGUAGGGUCCGAGCGUUGUCCGGAAUUACUGGGCGUAAAGAGCUCGUAGGUGGUUUGUCGCGUUGUUCGUGAAAACUCACAGCUCAACUGUGGGCGUGCGGGCGAUACGGGCAGACUGGAGUACUGCAGGGGAGACUGGAAUUCCUGGUGUAGCGGUGGAAUGCGCAGAUAUCAGGAGGAACACCGGUGGCGAAGGCGGCGCCCUGGCUCGCAACUGACGCUCAGACACGACAGCAUGGGGAGCGAACGGG
rnacentral:rRNA from 1 species